GAUGAACGCUGGCGGCGUGCCUAAUACAUGCCAGUCGAGCGAACAGAUGAGGAGCUUGCUCCUCUGACGUUAGCGGCGGACGGGUGAGUAACACGUGGAUAACCUACCUAUAAGACUGGGAUAACUUCGGGAAACCGGAGCUAAUACCGGAUAAUAUAUUGAACCGCAUGGUUCAAUAGUGAAAGACGGUUUUGCUGUCACUUAUAGAUGGAUCCGCGCCGCAUUAGCUAGUUGGUAAGGUAACGGCUUACCAAGGCAACGAUGCGUAGCCGACCUGAGAGGGUGAUCGGCCACACUGGAACUGAGACACGGUCCAGACUCCUACGGGGGGCAGCAGUAGGGAAUCUUCCGCAAUGGGCGAAAGCCUGACGGAGCAACGCCGCGUGAGUGAUGAAGGUCUUCGGAUCGUAAAACUCUGUUAUUAGGGAAGAACAAAUGUGUAAGUAACUAUGCACGUCUUGACGGUACCUAAUCAGAAAGCCACGGCUAACUACGUG
rnacentral:rRNA from 1 species